CGAAGAAGCACAUUUCGGCGUCAUCCUUAAAAUUGUUUUAUUUUAAUCAAAUUUGACUCUGAAAUUCGGCUCUGAGGAAGACACUACCAGACCAACACAACCAAGAAGUUCCCUGGAGAACCAUACUGCAAUACAGAUUGAAUCUUUAUUCGAAUUUCACCAACCUUCGAUGGAAUUUUCUGCAGCCUGCGCAGUUGACAUCGGCAAUAGAUGCAAACAAGACACACAAAAGGACUAAAACUGUUCAGGGGCUUAAUUUCUUAGGAUUUGAUGAUCUACAACGAACAAGAAGUGCUCCUUCUAUUCAGUUUUGGCUCUUUCUGCGCAAGGAAGUGGACUUGCAAAAAUAAACCAGCAGUCAUAAUUUAAAAAGUGCUCUCUGGUACUCUCAGUGGUCAGUUUUUGUAGAUUUAGUGAAGUGUUCAUGAAGAAAGAAGGUCGCCAAAUUCCAUCAUCAAAUUGGAACAAGCUAUACAAGCAACAGCGUUGAAUUGUAAGUUUAAUUAAUGCAACUUUUUAUUAUUGUAAUUUGUUAAAAAUCUAAUAUUUAU